rnacentral:rRNA from 1 species
AAGAAACCAACAGGGAUUGCCUUAGUAACGGCGAGUGAAGCGGCAAAAGCUCAAAUUUGAAAUCUGGCACCUUCGGUGUCCGAGUUGUAAUUUGAAGAAGGUAACUUUGGGAUUGGCUCUUGUCUAAGUUCCUUGGAACAGGACGUCACAGAGGGUGAGAAUCCCGUGCGAUGAGAUGACCAAUCCUAUGUAAAGUGCUUUCGAAGAGUCGAGUUGUUUGGGAAUGCAGCUCUAAGUGGGUGGUAAAUUCCAUCUAAAGCUAAAUAUUGGCGAGAGACCGAUAGCGAACAAGUACAGUGAUGGAAAGAUGAAAAGAACUUUGAAAAGAGAGUGAAAAAGUACGUGAAAUUGUUGAAAGGGAAGGGCUUGAGAUCAGACUUGGUAUUUUGCAUUCCUUACCUUCGUGGUGGGGUUCCUUGCAGUUUACUGGGCCAGCAUCGGUUUGGAUGGUGGGAUAAUGACAUUGGAAUGUGGCUCUGCUUCGGUAGAGUGUUAUAGCCAGUGUUGAUACCGCCUGUCUAGACCGAGGACUGCGUCUUUGACUAGGAUGCUGGCAUAAUGAUCUUAAGUCGCCCG